rnacentral:rRNA from 1 species
UACGAACUGUGCAAACGUUGCUCGGAAUUAUUGGGCGUAAAGCGCGCGUAGGCGGCUUGGCAAGUCGGAUGUGAAAUCCCUCGGCUCAACCAAGGAAGUGCAUCCGAAACUGCCGAGCUUGAGUACUUAAGAGGAUCGCGGAAUUCCCGGUGUAGAGGUGAAAUUCGUAGAUAUCUGGAGGAAUACCGGUGGCGAAGGCGGCAUCCUGGACCGGCAUUGACGCUGAGGAGCGAAAGCCAGGGGAGCAAACGGG